rnacentral:rRNA from 1 species
AUUGAACGCUGGCGGCAUGCCUUACACAUGCAAGUCGAACGGCAGCACGGGUGCUUGCACCUGGUGGCGAGUGGCGAACGGGUGAGUAAUACAUCGGAACGUACCUUAUCGUGGGGGAUAACGCAGCGAAAGCUGUGCUAAUACCGCAUACGCCCUGAGGGGGAAAGCGGGGGACCGUAAGGCCUCGCGCGAUUAGAGCGGCCGAUGUCUGAUUAGCUUGUUGGUGAGGUAAAAGCUCACCAAGGCGAUGAUCAGUAGCUGGUCUGAGAGGACGAUCAGCCACACUGGGACUGAGACACGGCCCAGACUCCUACGGGAGGCAGCAGUGGGGAAUUUUGGACAAUGGGGGCAACCCUGAUCCAGCAAUGCCGCGUGAGUGAAGAAGGCCUUCGGGUUGUAAAGCUCUAUUGUCAGGGAAGAAACAGCAGCUCUAACACAGUCUGCGAAUGACGGUACCUGAAGAAUAAGCACCGGCUAACUACGUGCCAGCCGCCGCCGUAA